CCCCGCGCAGCCGCACGGGCCGCCACGCCGCGCACGCCGUGCGGACCGCGCCCGAGCGGCCUGCGGGGCGGCCCUGCGGCCUGGCCCCCCGCGCUCCGGGGGCUCCGAGCGAGCGGCGACAGCCGCGGUAUGCAGGACGGCCCCGACUAGCGCGCCGAGCCCCGGGAGGCCUGGCGCGGAGGCGGGGGCGGGCGCGGCGGAGGCGGAGCCCGCUCGGGGCCCGCCCGCCCGCCGGGGGAGCCGCCGGCAGUGGCCGAGGAGGCGGCGCGGCGGACGGCGGCCCGAGAGUAGCGCCCGCGCUGCGGCCCGCGGGACCGCGCCGCGACCGCCCGGGCUCGGCCCGGAGGAGCGCCCGCCGCUGCCGCCGCCGCGCGCUUGGAGCGAGGAUAUGAACGUGAUUUCUGAUGAAACUGGAUUGGAAUAAUUUUCAUGAUAUUUGUAUAUUUAUAUAUAUAUAUUUUAAAUUUUUGCGUUUGACUUAAAGUGCCAUGAGAAAAUUUGCAUAUUGCAAGGUGGUUCUAGCCACCUCCUUGAUUUGGGUACUCUUAGAUAUGUUCCUGCUGCUUUACUUCAGUGAAUGCAACAAAUGUGAUGAGAAAAAGGAGCGAGGACUUCCUGCUGGGGAUGGUGAGUGACUUUUUAAAAUGCAACUUUUUAUAAAUCUAUUGCUAGUUUUUACUCAUGUGAAUAAUGCAAAAUUAUCACUACUUAAGAUUAAUAAUCCCUGGUUUCCUAUAUAUGUGAUGAUAUUUUGAACAAUUCUGUAGUUCGGUUUAGUAUUAAAGUAUCACUUAAUUGCUAAAUUUAGUUUUUGUGUUCAGUAUUAAAACUGUUGUUUUUCUACAAAUUGCUUCAUGUUACCAAGUAAUGUAGGG
rnacentral:lncRNA from 1 species